GGGAAACAGCGCCGGAGCGAGGCACUAAUGAGCUGAAAAAAGGAGAAAGACAAUGGUUGCGCCAAGCAAGCCCGGCCGCCAUCAUGCUCUAGUUUCCCCUCCGCCUCUCCCGGCCCGCGACCGAGGAAGCGGCCUCUGGGAUGCUGAGGGGGUGUGUCCCCGCAUGAUUGGCGCAGGCAGCUCAGCCAAUCCUAGCUCGUCAAACGGGAAGCACUUAACCAAUGAGGGGCGACGGCAGCGGCGAGGAAUUGGAGGGGCGGGACAGCAGUUUGACGGGCACAAAAGCGAGCCAGUGAAAGCCCGAAGCAUCCUCCCUGCGACCAAUGGAGUGGGGCUCUGGGCGGGCCCCUGAGUGUUUGUGUUGUGGUUUGGGGGGAGGGAGGCGGAGGGGAAAGUUUGUUUAUUUUGUUUUUAGUUUCUGGGGUCCCGGUGCUUCUGGAAGGUGAAGCGGGAGGGAGUGACCCCCGCACUCCUCAGUCCCCCUACGACGUCGCCUCCACAGCCUGCGGAGAAGCGGGGACCGCGCGCAUCGCCUCGCCUCACAGCUGAACACCGCGCACUCGGAGCCGGCACGGCUCGUCGGGUUUUGGUUUUUUGCACUGAAUAUAACCUAGAUUCAUCUGCACGGGCUUGUGUUGCCCCAGGAUACUGUCAAAGGCAGUAUUUGUGAGUUUCUGCAGAGUUUUGCACAGUCUGUUCCCAUGCAAACCAAUGAGGGAGAAGUAUCGGAAGAAAGCGGUUCCAAGGUGGAACAGGAGGAUUUUGUAAUGGAAGGGCAUGGCAAGACUCCACCUCCUGGUGAAGAAGGCAAACAGUGAGUCACAGUUUAUUUUAAAAGGAUCAUAUUACAGAUCAUUG